rnacentral:lncRNA from 1 species
CUCAAUCCGUCGGCCAUUAAUUACCCUCUCAAAUUUUCAGCUAAUAACCUAUAUAGCUUAGACCAUCCAGCAGUAUUUCAAUUCCAAAGCAACAGGGAUCAAUCAUCUUCCUCGUACAUUCUAAACCGAUUAGCAUUUCUUUCCCAAGAGAAGAUAAAGAAAAGAGAGAAUAUUACAAUCACUCUAUCCAGCCAUCAAGACACCCAACUACUCUUUUUAACUAUUAAAGCAGGAAAAAAGAACUACCUAAUAAUGAGAGAGUUGUGUUUCAAUAUACAUUCAAUCUUUCAAGCUAAAGUUUCGCA